UCUUUUCACGUUGGGUUUCUUUGCGAUUUUGACGACGCAAUUUCUUCUGCUCUUUUUUGGUCAAAUAUACUUUCAGGCAGUUGCGGUCGCUGUGCUCUCCAGGUGGCUUCAAUUGAACUGGAUGUUCAAUCAAAUUUGUAAUAAUAUCAAAAUUCAACGAAUCCAAAUCCACAUCAUAAGUUUCGCCUGGUAAAAUUACAGAAUCCCACCAUUCUACAUUUGGAACUUCUGCUUCUACCGAUUCUGCGACCCGAGGAACAACCAUGGCAAGUUUCACGGCUGAAGAUAUGCCUGUCUUUUUGGAAGCUAGUGAAAUCUCUUGCUGCAAUCGUUCGAGACGGCAUUUCGCACGCAAACGGUUUGCUUGUUUUACAUAUUCACCGUCUUGUUUGAAGGAAAACUCUCGACGAGCACGACCCGGCCCUUUUACUUUGACACGCUUAUCAAAAAACGUUGCAUUCUCUGUAACGCGAUCGUCCGUUGCUUGGGCAGUUUCUUGAACAGCUUUAUUGAACAAUGCGACCUUUUCAGCGCGAAUAUUAGCUUUCAAUGUUGGCUGUCGUUGUAUUAAUUGCACAGCACGUCCAUCUGUGUCUACAGUACGUCCUUCGGAAUCCAAAAUCAGUGGAGUUGGUUUGCCCGGCUGACGAGCAACAGCCUGAUAAUUCAUCAAAGCCGGCAGUUUGUUUGCAAUACUUUGCCUCAAUUCUGCCAUACGAUUCACCCUCAGCAAUGAUGCAUUCAUGAACUCUUUGGCUUGGUCCGGUGCUAUUUUGGACGGUUGCAGUUGCAACACUUUUUUCCGUUCUUCAAUCAUUCUCUGCGCUUUCAGCAUUAUUUCCUGCACUUUGGAAUUUUCCAGAGCAGGCUUCGCGCUAGCAGCAGAAGCGACGCUGUCUAAAUUGUCGGACGUCUUGAUUUCACUCGAUUUCUCAUCAUCAACACGGUCAAACCGACUCUUUCUGCCCGAUGGUUUGAUAAGUUGAGACGAAUCAGAAAAUACGGCGUUCAAAAUUUUUUCCACAUCUUCUUCUUCACUGUGCACUUCAAGCAACUUCUGUUUCAUUUUUGUUUUAUCAUAGCCACGAUGUGUUCGGAGCGCUCUCGUCGGUACGUGAAAAUCCGAGCGACGCCUGGUAAAUCUCGUACUUGGUCGUACUGAUAUCCGCAGCAGGUCUCCAAGGUGAAUAGCCCCUCUGGCCGAUAGAAUAAUGUAGGUAAGGGAAGUCGGCAAAACGGAUCCGUAACUUCGGAACAAGGAUUGGCUCUAAGGGCUGGGCCGAUCGGGCUGAGGUUUCAAGCGUGCAGUGUAUGCUUGGCUUAGUUGUGUUGAGGACUUGUUCACUUGCCACCGGUUGUUCGGCUGGUCGAGUGUAUUCGAGUCUGAAGCAGAGCUGGCCGACAGACCGGCACGUGCAGAACCUGAGCUGCGCGGCUGUCCGUUUUCGUGUACAGACCGUUUCGGUCGGCAUUCAACAGCCAACUUAGAACUGGCACGGACACAAGGAAUCUGACUGUAUAAUUAAAACAAAGCAUUGCGAUGGCCGAUGAUCGGUGAUGACGCAAUGUGAUUUCUGCCCAGUGCUCUGAAUGUCAAAGUGAAGAAAUUCAAUCAAGCGCGGGUAAACGGCGGGAGUAACUAUGACUCUCUUAAGGUAGCCAAAUGCCUCGUCAUCUAAUUAGUGACGCGUAUGAAUGGAUCAACAAGAUUCCUUCUGUCCCUAUCUACUAUCUAGCGAAACCACAGCCAAGGGAACGGGCUUGGCAAAAUCAGCGGGGAAAGAAGACCCUGUUGAGCUUGACUCUAGUCUGACUCUGUGAAGAGACAUGAAAGGUGUAGCAUAGGUGGGAGAUUGUCAAUUUGCCAUCGUUCACGCGAUGGUCCGGUGAUCGCCAAUGAAAU
rnacentral:rRNA from 1 species